rnacentral:tRNA from 1 species
GGCCGGUUAGGUCAGCUGGUUAGAACGUGGUGCUAAUAACGCCAAGGUUGCAAGUUCGAUACCCGUACUGGCCA